AAAGGAGAAAAGAAAGAGAGAGAGAGAAAGGGAGAGAGAAAGAAAGAAAAAAAAAAAUGAUAUUUUGAAACCGAUAAAUGAUGGAUUUUUUUCAAUUGUUGGGAUUGGUUUAGAUGGAAAAAGUUACGCGUACAUAUGGUUAUUUGCUUAUUUGCUACAGUAUACCUCUCUCUGUCUCUCUCUCCCUCUCUCUCUCUCUCUUUUAACCAAAU